GUAGGGAAUAUUGGGCAAUGGAUGCAAGUCUGACCCAGCCAUCCCGCGUGCCGGAAGAAGGCCCUCAGGGUUGUAAACGGCUUUUGACGGUGAAGAACCGACAGGAUGCGUCCUGUUUUGACGGUAGCCGUUGAAUAAGCACCGGCUAACUCCGUGCCAGCAGCCGCGGUACUACGGAGGGUGCGAGCGUUGUCCGGAUUUAUUGGGUUUAAAGGGUGCGUAGGCUGGAAGGUCAGUCAGCGGUGAAAAGCUAUCGCUUAACGAUAGUCUUGCCGCAGAUACUUCCUUUCUUGGAUGAGGAGGAGGCCACUGGAACGGAUGGUGUAGCGGUGAAAUGCAUAGAUAUCAUCCAGAACACCGAUUGCGAAGGCAGGUGGCUGUACCUUAAUCGACGCUGAUGCACGAAAGCAUGGGGAGCAAACAGGAUUAGAUACCCGGGUAGUCC
rnacentral:rRNA from 1 species